rnacentral:rRNA from 1 species
AUUGAACGCUGGUGGCAUGCCUUACACAUGCAAGUCGAACGGUAACAGGUCUUCGGAUGCUGACGAGUGGCGAACGGGUGAGUAAUACAUCGGAACGUGCCCGAGAGUGGGGGAUAACGAAGCGAAAGCUUUGCUAAUACCGCAUACGAUCUCAGGACGAAAGCAGGGGACCGCAAGGCCUUGCGCUCACGGAGCGGCCGAUGGCAGAUUAGGUAGUUGGUGGGAUAAAAGCUUACCAAGCCGACGAUCUGUAGCUGGUCUGAGAGGACGACCAGCCACACUGGGACUGAGGCACGGCCCUGACUCCUACGAGAGGCAGCAGUGGGGAAUUUUGGACAAUGGGCGCAAGCCUGAUCCAGCCAUGCCGCGUGCAGGAUGAAGGCCUUCGGGUUGUAAACUGCUUUUGUACGGAACGAAAAGACUCUGGUUAAUACCUGGGGUCCAUGACGGUACCGUAAGAAUAAGCACCGGCUAACUACGUGCCAGCCGCCGCGGUAACAC